rnacentral:rRNA from 1 species
CUACGUGCCAGCAGCCGCGGUAAUACGUAGGUCCCGAGCGUUGUCCGGAUUUAUUGGGCGUAAAGCGAGCGCAGGCGGUUUGAUAAGUCUGAAGUUAAAGGCUGUGGCUCAACCAUAGUUCGCUUUGGAAACUGUCAAACUUGAGUGCAGAAGGGGAGAGUGGAAUUCCAUGUGUAGCGGUGAAAUGCGUAGAUAUAUGGAGGAACACCGGUGGCGAAAGCGGCUCUCUGGUCUGUAACUGACGCUGAGGCUCGAAAGCGUGGGGAGCGAACAGGAUUAGAUACCCUGGUAGUCCACGCCGUAAACGAUGAGUGCUAGGUGUUAGACCCUUUCCGGGGUUUAGUGCCGCAGCUAACGCAUUAAGCACUCCGCCUGGGGAGUACGACCGCAAGGUUGAAACUCAAAGGAAUUGACGGGGGCCCGCACAAGCGGUGGAGCAUGUGGUUUAAUUCGAAGCAACGCGAAGAACCUUACCAGGUCUUGACAUCCCUCUGACCGCUCUAGAGAUAGAGUUUUC